rnacentral:rRNA from 1 species
AUUGCCCUAGUAACGGCGAGUGAAGCGGCAACAGCUCAAAUUUGAAAUCUGGUUCCUUUGGAGCCCGAGUUGUAAUUUGCAGAGGAUGCUUUGGGUUCGGUUCCUUCCGAGUUCCCUGGAACGGGACGCCAUAGAGGGUGAGAGCCCCGUCUGGUCGGAAACCCAGCCCGUGUAAAGCUCCCUCGACGAGUCGAGUAGUUUGGGAAUGCUGCUCUAAGGGGAGGUAUACUCCUUCCAAGGCUAAAUAUUGGCUAGAGACCGAUAGCGAACAAGUAGAGUGAUCGAAAGAUGAAAAGCACUUUGAAAAGAGAGUUAAACAGCACGUGAAAUUGUUAAAAGGGAAGCGCUCGUUACCAGACUUGAGUUCGGAGGUUCAACCGGGGCCAUGCCCCGGGGCACUCCACCGGCUCAGGCCAGCAUCAGUUCUUCGUCGGAGGGAAAGACGUUGGGAAUGUAGCACCCUCUCGGGGGUGUGUUAUAGCCCGGCGUGUCAUAUCCUUCGGGGGACUGAGGUUCGCGCAUCUGCAAGGAUGCUGGCGUAAUGGUAACUAGUGACCCGUCUUGAAACACGGACCAAGGAGUCAACCUUAUGUGCGAGUGCCCGGGCGUAAAACCCCAGCGCGUAAUGAAAGUGAACGUAGGUGAGAGCUUCGGCGCAUCACCGACCGAUCCUGAUGUCUUCGGACGGAUUUGAGUGAGAGCAUAUAGGGUUGGACCCGAAAGAAGAUGAACUAUGCGUGAAGUAGGGUGAAGCCAGAGGAAACUCUGGUGGAGGCUCGCAGCGGUUCUGACGUGCAAAUCGAUCGUCAAACUUGCGCAUGGGGGCGAAAGACUAAU